UGGGGAAUAUUGGACAAUGGGGGCAACCCUGAUCCAGCCAUGCCGCGUGAGUGAUGAAGGCCCUAGGGUUGUAAAGCUCUUUUGUGCGGGAAGAUAAUGACGGUACCGCAAGAAUAAGCCCCGGCUAACUUCGUGCCAGCAGCCGCGGUAAUACGAAGGGGGCUAGCGUUGCUCGGAAUCACUGGGCGUAAAGGGUGCGUAGGCGGGUUUCUAAGUCAGAGGUGAAAGCCUGGAGCUCAACUCCAGAACUGCCUUUGAUACUGGAAGUCUUGAGUAUGGCAGAGGUGAGUGGAACUGCGAGUGUAGAGGUGAAAUUCGUAGAUAUUCGCAAGAACACCAGUGGCGAAGGCGGCUCACUGGGCCAUUACUGACGCUGAGGCACGAAAGCGUGGGGAGCAAAACAGGAUUAGAUACCCUGGUAGUCCACGCCGUAAACGAUGAAUGCCAGCCGUUAGUGGGUCUACUCACUAGUGGCGCAGCUAACGCUUUAAGCAUUCCGCCUGGGGAGUACGGUCGCAAGAUUAAAACUCAAAUGAAUUGACGGGGUCAUAGCUGUUUCUU
rnacentral:rRNA from 1 species